GACCUUGUGGCACAAUGGUAGCGCGUCUGACUCCAGAUCAGAAGGUUGCGUGUUCAAAUCACGCCGGGGUCA
rnacentral:tRNA from 2 species